UGCAUGUCUCAGUACUUGCUUUAACAAGGCGAAACCGCGAAUGGCUCAUUAAAUCAGUUAUGGUUCACUAGAUCGUAAAUCCUACACGGAUAACUGUGGUAAUUCUAGAGCUAAUACGUGCAAACGGCUCGUUCCCUUGUGGAGCGAGCGCAGUUAUUAGAACAAAACCAAUCCGGCCUUCGGGUCGGUUAAAAUGGUGACUCUGAAUAACCGAAGCGGAGCGUAUGGUCUCGUACCGACGCCAGAUCUUUCAAGUGACUGCUCUAUCAGCUUGUUGCUAGGUUAUGCUCCUAGCAAGGCUUCAACGGGUAACGGGGUAUCAGGGUCCGAUACCGGAGAGGGAGCCUGAGAAACGGCUACCACAUCCAAGGAAGGCAGCAGGCGCGCAAAUUACCCACUCCCAGCACGGGGAGGUAGUGACGAAAAAUAACGAUGCGAGGGCAUAUUGCUUCUCGUAAUCGGAAUGGGUACACUUUAAAUCCUUUAACGAGGAUCUAUUGGAGGGCAAGUCUGGUGCCAGCAGCCGCGGUAAUUCCAGCUCCAAUAGCGUAUAUUAAAGUUGCUGCGGUUAAAAAGCUCGUAGUUGGAUCUGGGCAGCUGGAUGUGCGGUGCGCUUUACAGCGUUACUGCUCGUUUGGCGCCACAAGCCGGCCAUGUCUUGCAUGCUCUUCACUGGGUGUGCUUGGCGACCGGAACGUUUACUUUGAAAAAAUUAGAGUGCUCAAAGCAGGCGUAUGGCCUUGCAUAAUGGUGCAUGGAAUAAUGGAAUAGGACCUCGGUUCUAUUUUGUUGGUUAUCGGAGCUCGAGGUAAUGAUUAAGAGGAACAGACGGGGGCAUUCGUAUUGCGGCGUUAGAGGUGAAAUUCUUGGAUCGUCGCAAGACGAACUA
rnacentral:rRNA from 1 species